rnacentral:miRNA from 1 species
UAAUUGAGGAUGGAGGGAGUA